AUGGAGUUUGGGCUGAGCUGGGUUUUCCUUGUUGUUAUUUUACAAGGUGUCCAGUGUGAGGUGCAGCUGGUGGAGUCUGGGGGAGGCUUGGUCCAGCCUGGAGGGUCCCUGAGACUCUCCUGUGCAGCCUCUGGAUUCACCUUCAGUGACCACUACAUGGACUGGGUCCGCCAGGCUCCAGGGAAGGGGCUGGAGUGGGUUGGCCGUACUAGAAACAAAGCUAACAGUUACACCACAGAAUACGCCGCGUCUGUGAAAGGCAGAUUCACCAUCUCAAGAGAUGAUUCAAAGAACUCACUGUAUCUGCAAAUGAACAGCCUGAAAACCGAGGACACGGCCGUGUAUUACUGUGCUAGAGA